rnacentral:rRNA from 1 species
UACAGAGGGGGCAAGCGUUGUUCGGAAUUACUGGGCGUAAAGGGCGCGUAGGCGGCCUGCUAAGUCAGACGUGAAAUCCCUCAGCUCAACUGGGGAACUGCGUCUGAGACUGGCCGGCUUGAGUGCAGGAGAGGAACGCGGAAUUCCAGGUGUAGCGGUGAAAUGCGUAGAUAUCUGGAGGAACACCGGUGGCGAAGGCGGCGUUCUGGACUGUAUCUGACACUGAGGAACGAAAGCCAGGGGAGCAAACGGG